CCUGGCUCAGAUUGAACGCUGGCGGCAGGCUUAACACAUGCAAGUCGAGCGGAAACGAUGAUAGCUUGCUAUCAGGCGUCGAGCGGCGGACGGGUGAGUAAUACUUAGGAAUCUACCUAGUAGUGGGGGAUAGCACGGGGAAACUCGUAUUAAUACCGCAUACGACCUACGGGAGAAAGGGGGCAGUUUACUGCUCUCGCUAUUAGAUGAGCCUAAGUCGGAUUAGCUAGAUGGUGGGGUAAAGGCCUACCAUGGCGACGAUCUGUACCUGGUCUGAGAGGAUGAUCAGCCACUCCGGGCCCUGAGACAUUAAG
rnacentral:rRNA from 1 species